GAGAAGAGAAUGGUAUUAAGAUGAAGAGGAAAGGGGAAUGGAAUCAACACAAAUUGGUCAAAGGAGGAUUUUUAUAAAACUAAAAUCAUUCAUUCAUUUUGGGAGAUGAAAUAUACAUUUCAUCAAUCCCCAAAAUCCAAUUAUUUUAACUCAAUAAAGUCAAAUCAACCUUGACGAAGGCCCAACAACACAAGUCAAACUCAAC
rnacentral:lncRNA from 1 species